AUGACAUCAUCGAUGAUGCGGUGGGUUUCGUGGCGGCAGCGGAGAUGCUGAGGGAGAGGGGGGCGGGGACGAUCAUCGCCGUGGCAACGCACGCCAUCCUGUCCGCGGACGCUCCCAGGAUCCUCCAGGAGUCAGUCAUUAGUCAGAGAGGAGAGGAGGAUGUGAAGUUAAAGAACAUGGGUUCUUGGCCCAGCGUUCUCAGUCCACCCCCGCCUCCGCUGUCCGCUCCUCUAGCGACAGCUUCGAACAGGUCCGUCGCGUCGCCCGAGAGAAGGAGAGAGAGAAACAGCUAAAAGCACAGGCCAGGAGAGAGCAGGAGAAACUACGUAGCCUUGACGACGAGGACUCUGUGGACCAGCAGAGGGAGCUGGCGAGACGCCGCGAGCAGGAAAGGAGGAGGAGAGAGAUGGCGGACACCAUUGACAUCAACUUCCAGAGCGACUUGAUGGUCAUCUUUGAAGAGAACCUUUUCUGAGAGAGAGAUUGAGAAAGGAGGAGAGGGAGAGAAAGAGAUAUGAACUCUACCUUAUCCCACCAUGGCUGGGAUUUCACACACAACACCCUCCCUCCCUCUGAUUAGAGACCCCAGACCAGGAUGUGAGCUCCAGAGACUUGAAGGAGACUGAGGUGAGGUACAGUAAUAAGGAGUAGCCCUCCCUCCCUCCCUCUGAUUAGAGACCCCAGACCAGG